GGAAGUAAAAGCGUAACAAGGUCUCCGUUGGUGAACCAGCGGAGGGAUCAUUACAGGACUCGCAAGACUCCUACAACCCUGUGAACUUAACUAUAAGCACGUUGCUUCGGCGGGUGUCUCGGAGGGGGUUCUCCCUCCCCGAGACGCUAAACCCGCCGGCAGCCUACUAUACUCUGUCUCUUUGCGUUGGCAUCUCGAGUACAAUCAAACAAGUUAAAACUUUCAACAACGGAUCUCUUGGUUCUG
rnacentral:misc_RNA from 1 species